UACGGAGGGGGCUAGCGUUAUUCGGAAUUACUGGGCGUAAAGCGCGCGUAGGCGGUUUUCCAAGUUGGAGGUGAAAUCCCGGGGCUUAACUCCGGAACUGCCUUCAAAACUGGAUGACUAGAGGUCGAGAGAGGUAAGGGGAAUUCCUAGUGUAGAGGUGAAAUUCGUAGAUAUUAGGAAGAACACCAGUGGCGAAGGCGCCUUACUGGCUCGAUCCUGACGCUGAGGUGCGAAAGUGUGGGGAGCAAACAGG
rnacentral:rRNA from 1 species